CUGCACGUAAGAUUUAACGGGGCUAAGCUAUGCACCGAAGUUGCGGAAUAUAUUUAGUAUAUUGGUAGGGGAGCGUUCUGUAAGCCGAUGAAGGUGAAUUGAGAAGUUUGCUGGAGGUAUCAGAAGUGCGAAUGCUGACAUGAGUAACGUAAAAUAAGUGAGAUUCUUAUUGGCCGAAAACCCAAGGUUUCCUACGCAAUGUUAAUCAACGUAGGGUAAGCCGGCCCCUAAGGCGUAGCUGAAGAGUGAAGUCGAUGGGAAACAGGUUAAUAUUCCUGUGCCGCUUAUAUAAACGAAGGAGGGACGGAGAAGGUUAGGUAGGCCUGGCGGAUGGUUGUCCAGGUGAAAGUAUGUAGGUAGAGGUGCUAGGCAAAUCCGGCAUCUUGUUGAUCUGAGAUACGAGACGAAGUCAAACUUGUUUGACAAAGCUAUUGAUACCAUGCUUCCAGGAAAAGCUUCUAAGUAUAUUGUAUAAGUGACCGUACUGUAAACCGACACUGGUGGGUAGGUAGAGAAUACUAAGGCUAUGAGAUAACUCUGGUGAAGGAACUAGGCAAAAUGACACCGUAACUUUGGAAGAAGGUGUGCCCUUGAUGGUGAUGAGACUUGCUCUCUGAGCUGUUGGGGGUUGCAGAUACCAGGUGGCUGCGACUGUUUAUCAAAAACAUAGCACUCUGCAAACACGUAAGUGGAAGUAUAGGGUGUGACCCCUGCCCGGUGCCGGAAGGUUAAUUGAUGGGGUUAGUUUUCGGACGAAGCUCUUGAUCGAAGCCCCGGUGAACGGCGGCCGUAACUAUAACGGUCCUAAGGUAGCGAAAUUCCUUGUCGGGUAAGUUCCGACCUGCACGAAUGGCGUAACGAUGGCCACACUGUCUCCACCCGAGACUCAGUGAAAUUGAAUUUGCUGUGAAGAUGCAGUGUACCCGCGGCUAGACGGAAAGACCCCGUGCACCUUUACUACAGCUUUGCACUGAACUUUGAACUUAUUUGUGUAGGAUAGGUGGGAGACUUUGAAACGCAGGCGCUAGCUUGCGUGGAGUCACCCUUGAAAUACCACCCUGGUAAGUUUGAGGUUCUAACCUUGGUCCGUUAUCCGGAUUAGGGACAGUGUAUGGUGGGUAGUUUGACUGGGGCGGUCUCCUCCCAAAGAGUAACGGAGGAGCACGAAGGUACUCUCGGCAUGGUCGGAAAUCAUGCUAUGAGUGUAAAGGCAUAAGAGUGCUUGACUGCGAGAUUGACGAAUCGAGCAGGUGGGAAACCAGGUCUUAGUGAUCCGGUGGCACUGCAUGGU
rnacentral:rRNA from 1 species